rnacentral:rRNA from 1 species
AGUCGAACGAAGGCCCUAGCUUGCUAGGUGUCCUUAGUGGCGCACGGGUGAGUAACACGUGGGAACAUACCUCAUAGUACGGAAUAACUGCGGGAAACUGUAGCUAAUACCGUAUAUUCCAGUAAUGGGAAAGAUUUAUCGCUAUGAGAUUGGCCCGCGCAAGAUUAGUUUGUUGGUAAGGUAAUGGCUUACCAAGGCUACGAUCUUUAGCUGGUUUGAGAGGAUGAUCAGCCACACUGGGACUGAGACACGGCCCAGACUCCUACGGGAGGCAGCAGUAGGGAAUAUUGGACAAUGGGGGAAACCCUGAUCCAGCAAUGCAGCGUGAGUGACGAAGGCCUUAGGGUUGUAAAACUCUUUCAUCGGUGAGGAUAAUGACAGUAACCGAAGAAGAAGGACCGGCUAAUUCCGUGCCAGCAGCCGCGGUAAUACGGAAGGUCCUAGCGUUGUUCGGAAUUACUGGGCGUAAAGCGCAUGUAGGCGGAACAGAAAGUUAGAAGUGAAAUCCCUGGGCUCAACCUAGGAAUUGCUUUUAAAACUUCUGUUCUGGAAUUAAGGAGAGGAAAAUGGAAUAUCCAGUGUAGAGGUGAAAUUCGUAGAUAUUGGAUGGAACACCAGUGGCGAAGGCGAUUUUCUGGACUUAUAUUGACGCUGAGAUGCGAAGGCAUGGGUAGCAAACGGGAUUAGAUACCCCGGUAGUCCAUGCAGUAAACGAUGGGUGCUAGUCGUCGGACUUAUGUUCGGUGUCGUAGCUAACGCGUUAAGCACCCCGCCUG